GAUGAACGCCGGCGGUGUGCCUAAUACAUGCAAGUCGUACGCACUGGCCCAACUAAUUGAUGGUGCUUGCACCUGAUUGACGAUGGAUCACCAGUGAGUGGCGAACGGGUGAGUAACACGUAGGUAACCUGCCCAUGUGCCCGGGAUAAUUUCUGGAAACGGAAACUAAAACCGGAUAGGUAGGGAUCUCGCAUGAGGACCUUAUUAAAGGGGCUGCGGCCCUGAACAUGGAUGGACCUGCGGUGCAUUAGCUGGUUGGUGGGGUAACGGCCUACCAAGGCGACGAUGCAUAGCCGACCUGAGAGGGCGAACGGCCACAUUGGGACUGAGACACGGCCCAA
rnacentral:rRNA from 1 species